GCGAAAGUGGCGGAAUGGCAGACGCACUAGAUUCAGGUUCUAGCGGGCAAUAGGCCUGUGGGGGUUCGAGUCCCCCCUUUCGCA
rnacentral:tRNA from 1 species